rnacentral:lncRNA from 1 species
UUUGGUGGUUAUGUGGUGAGUUGGUGUGCUAAAGUUCUUGUGUUUGAGUUUGGGCAGGAGUAUUAUUUUUGUUAUUUGUGUCGUGAAGGAGCUUGGAUUGCAGUCAAAUGCUGAGAAUUUGAGGUGUAGUAGGGAAGUGGUGGACGGUUUGGGGGGGAGAGAUUUUUGAGAUUGUGGUUUGAGGGGAGUGUUUUGGGGAUAUGGGCAUUAUCUUGAGGAAUUUCAGCCAGAAUAGAAUUUUUGGCUGAAAAGUUCUCUUCCUCCUUUCUUUUUG